rnacentral:rRNA from 1 species
AACCGACCCGGGGACCGCCGGGGCAACCCGGCGCCCCCGAGACGGGGCGAACCACGGUGAAAUGACGGAUCGUCGGCCCCCGCGCCGGCGACUCGCCGAAUGAGUUUCUGACCUAUCAACUCGAGACGGCGGGGUAGAGGCCCGCCGUGGUAACGACGGGUAACGGGGAAUCAGGGUUCGAUUCCGGAGAGGGAGCCCGAGAAACGGCUACCACUUCCAAGGAAGGCAGCAGGCGCGCAACUUACCCUAAUCUCGAUUCGAGGAGGUAGUGACAAGAAAUACCGAUGCGGGACCCUACGGGUGCCGCGUUCGGAAUGAGUACGAUUCGAACCACCUAAUGAGGAACGAUCGGAGGGCAAGUCUGGUGCCAGCAGCCGCGGUAAUUCCAGCUCCAAUAGCGUACGUUAAAGUUGCUGCAGUUAAAAAGCUCGUAGUUGAACGUUCGGGUU